rnacentral:lncRNA from 1 species
AUGUGCGCCAGUUUUGUGUUUGAACGGAAACAGAUGCUGUUGCUGUUUUUCAUGGCUUCUGUUUGCUGCCCCAUGUUUGCAGAGUUAACGCAGCCUCUCUGUCGGACCUUAGCUCACUUCAGUCGCUUGUUCGGAGCAGCGAAAGAGAGAGAAAAAGAGAGACAACGAGUGAGGAAAAGCGACGGUGGAUGGAUAAAGAAGCUUUGCGUGGACUUAUUUCACAGCUUCAGACAAAGACACUGCAUCAUGUAAUGUGUGCAGGAAGGUAAUUCGCUGCUGUGGUAACACCACCAAUCUGCACAAACAUUUAAAAGCAGUGUAAAUGGAGGGAGGAGGAGGGAGAGCCCCGAUUAACCAGACCCCGACACACAGACAGGGGUCUCUGCCUGAAGCUUUUCAACAGAAGCCUCCAGAAUAUCCAGGGAGCGGUUUUAGAGAAGUCAAGUUAAGAUUUUGGUGUUUUCAGCAAAAUUUGACGUUGCUUUUCAAUUGGUGGUCAAUGUCAUUUCAGCAGUGAUUAAACUGUUUUCAUAUAUUUAGUCAAUUGAAAUAAAUCCUGACUGUGUUAAUGGAGCUAAUAUAUAUAUAU